GAAAUUUACAAAGUCUGCUAGAAUUUUGUUUGAAAUGAACAAUUUGCGUGCAUUAUUGCCCCAGCAGCAAAAGAAAAAGCUGUCAUGACAAAUUUAUUUAGUUGCAGAAUGUAUCGCAAGAUAGAACCAUGUUUUCUUCUUGUCUUGAAGCUGGAUACCAAUUAAAGUGGUGGUAUCACAGCAUAUUAAUUGCUAACACAAGUAUUGCUGAAUCUAUGUGAAGGGUGACAAGACAGGUAUUCCAGCAUUACGUUAACUUAUUUUUUUGGUAGGUGGUGGCUCACAGAACAGUGAAACUAAGGCCAUUGCAUUUCAAAAUGUUUAUCUCUCCAUGGCAAAACAAAAGCUGGCUCUUCAAGACAGUUCUAAAUCUAUUAUUUAGUGACGCAGUGAAAUUUCAAGUUGAUAAGAGUGUGUAUGUAAAAAAUAUGUAUUUUAAUAAACCAUA